AAGUGAUGAAAGCAUAGGUAUUUUCCCAAGACAAUCAGAAGCAAAGAUCAAUCAACGGAUUAAGCAAAGAACAAAGUACUCUACAGUGGCUUCCUCAUCAUUCAUCGGCACCGAUCUGAAAACAUACAGGUUGGUCCAACCCUUCCUCCUCCGCGGAGCCUCCACUGAUGUGCACGCCUAGGUUCUUGAAGCUUUUCACCCUCCAAUGCUGCCCUGUUAAUGUGGAUGGGGGCGUGCAAUCUCUGCUGUCUUCCGAAGUCCACAAUCAUCUCCUUUGUUUUGUUGAUGUUGAGGGAGAGGUUAUUUUCCUGGCACCGCUCUGCCAGGGCCCUCACCACCUCCCUGUAGACUGUCUCAUUUUUGAUGGUAGUCAGGCCUAACACUGUUGUGUCGUCUGCGAACUUGAUGAUUGGGUUGGAGACGUGCGUGUCCACGCAGUCAUGGGUGAACAGGGAGUACAGGAGGGGGCUGAGCACGCCCCCUUGUGGGUGGAAUGGUAUCAGAUACAUCAAACACAUGCCAUACCAUUUGCUCCUGUCCAGUCAUUGUUAUGAGCUGUCCUCCCCUCAGUAGCCUCCACUGACCUCUGCCUUUCUUUUUCCUGGAGAGUUAUUUUUUUCCUGUCCCCGCUUGCUGUAUGGACGGGGACAGUAUAUCUGGAAAGAGCCAUGAUUCUGUGAAACAGAUUAUGUUACAGUCCCUGAUGUCUCUCUGGAAGGAGACCAGGAGGGGUUACGAACAGAGAAUCCGAUUCAGGAAAGUCUCAUUUCUGGUCGAAAUGCUGGUGAGUGACUGCCGGUCUAAUAUCCAAAGGUUAUUUUCGGCUGUAAGAAAUAAUGCAAGAAACGUUCUGAGCAAAUAAUGUAAGAAAUAACACACAAAAUACUGCAAAGUUGGCUAGGAGCUAGAAAUAGGGAAACCAUGUCUGUCGGGGCCAUCUUGUACAUGAUCCAUUGGCUUGUUAACGUUUUUCAUCAUGAAUGUUGUUCGGGAGGCAGCUCUGCAGAGUGGUCACUAGCUGGCACAGCCACAAAGUCAUAAUAUCUGAUUUUAAACCCUAAACUUAACCACACUACUAACCCUAAAUUAAGAUUAAGAUAUUUCAUGAAUCAGGAGCUAUGAACAGGAGGACUGUGAGUUCAUUUCUGUGGGUGUUAAAAUUCGGAUCUCAAAUUUGCUGUGUAGAUGCCAGAUAUACAUAGUAUAUACUUUGACCAGCCAAGCUUUAUUAAAACUAAGGAAAGAAGGAUACAUCGUACAGUCCUAGAGCAUCUGGUUGUCGUGGUGGAGGCACAGGGUACUAAUUUCUCUUAAGUGGAGAUGAUGUUUAUUUAUUUUUUUAGGAAUAACAUAUACAUAUAAUUAGUACCUAUUCAUGGAAAUGUUCCAUACGCUGGAUAAUAAUGAAUGUAAAAUAAAUAAUUCACUGUCACUACCUCUCAGUCUUAAAUGAAGAACUGGAAGAAAAUGUAAGUUCCCUUAAAAAGUAUUUCUUCAUCAAAAACCAGUGUAUUUUUAAGAACCAUAUUUUUAUAAUAAAGACACUUUUUAUUGAAGUCCCAUAUUAACAGGUGCUGAACAUAUUUUGUUAAUGGCCGUAAAUGUAUGAGUGAUGUUUUUCCUCCUUCCCUUUCCCCUCCUGUCUUCCCAUCUCCUCUCUUCCUCCCCUCCUCUCCUGUACAGUAUUUGGGCAGUACAUAUGGCUAAGGGAGAGGACAUGCCCUAACAGAGCCCCAGGGACCACCAGGCCUUUGCAGUUCCAACAGUUCCCCCUCGCUCAAGCCAAGUCUCAGCCACUCAGCUCCCUCUCUCUCUGCUCGUUGGCCAAGUGUAAAAUGCUCCAGACCUCCAUGCCGGGUGUCUCUGCCAGCCUAGACAUGCCCAGCGAACAGCACCCAGGCUGUGGAUAAUUAAAUACAACCUCUCCCUGGGGACCUGGUGGGAGGAAUGUGGAUAGGCUGCAAAGCCCGGCUGACAUUUUAGCGAGCCAAUGUUACUGAUAUAAAUCUUGGCAGUUGUCAGAUUUUUUAAAAAGAGGGCUGUGGUGAAGCAAAGUUCCUUCUGUCAUGUCACUACACUGAACAUGGGGGAAAACAAGUAGAUUUGAAUUGACACAAUGCUUAGACCUGUAUUCACUUGAGUUAUUUCGUUUUUUUUCUUAAUGUCAAGGUUGCUAUCUAAUAAAUGAUGGAUGAUAUUUUUCA
rnacentral:lncRNA from 1 species